rnacentral:rRNA from 1 species
AUUGAACGCUGGCGGCAGGCUUAACACAUGCAAGUCGAGCGGUAGCACAAGAGAGCUUGCUCUCUGGGUGACGAGCGGCGGACGGGUGAGUAAUGUCUGGGAAACUGCCUGAUGGAGGGGGAUAACUACUGGAAACGGUAGCUAAUACCGCAUAACGUCGCAAGACCAAAGAGGGGGACCUUCGGGCCUCUUGCCUUCAGAUGUGCCCAGAUGGGAUUAGCUAGUAGGUGGGGUAAUGGCUCACCUAGGCGACGAUCCCUAGCUGGUCUGAGAGGAUGACCAGCCACACGGGAACUGAGACACGGUCCAGACUCCUACGGGAGGCAGCAGUGGGGAAUAUUGCACAAUGGGCGCAAGCCUGAUGCAGCCAUGCCGCGUGUGUGAAGAAGGCCUUCGGGUUGUAAAGCACUUUCAGCGAGGAGGAAGGUGGUGAACUUAAUACGUUCAUCAAUUGACGUUACUCGCAGAAGAAGCACCGGCUAACUCCGUG